rnacentral:lncRNA from 12 species
CAAUCUGGGAAUGAAUGAGGCUGUGGUGGCUGGGCUGUGCCACCAGUCACGCAUGUCAGAGGUUCUGCUUAUUAAACAGUGAUGUCAGGAGGAGCUCUGCAGGAUGAGAAGGUUAUUUUGUGACUGGACACCUUGAGUCACUUGGGGUAAAUUGCUACAGUGUCUCAGUUAUCAGUUAAGUCGUUGUGUUCUGGUGGAAUCAGUGGAGCUUGUUCUCACUGGUGCAGUAUCUGAGCCAUCAAGUUUAAUGAAUCGUUACAAAUAGUUUAAUUUGCACUUGCAGGUGCUAUUAAAACUAGGUUUUUUUUUUGUUUUUGUUUUUUUGUUUUUUUUUUUUUUUGCCAAGAGGGGGGGGGGGGGGGGGGGGGGGGGGGGGGGGGGGGGGGGGGGGGGGGGGGGGGGGGGGGGGGGGGG